rnacentral:rRNA from 1 species
GGGGUGAGAAUCCCCUCCACCGAAUGCCUAAGGUUUCCUGAGGAAGGCUCGUCCGCUCAGGGUUAGUCGGGACCUAAGCCGAGGCCGAAAGGCGUAGGCGAUGGACAACAGGUUGAUAUUCCUGUACCACCUCCUCACCAUUUGAGCAAUGGGGGGACGCAGGAGGAUAGGGUAAGCGCGGUAUUGGAUAUCCGCGUCCAAGCAGUUAGGCUGGGAAAUAGGCAAAUCCGUUUCCCAUAAGGCUGAGCUGUGAUGGCGAGCGAAAUAUAGUAGCGAAGUUCCUGAUUCCACACUGCCAAGAAAAGCCUCUAGCGAGGUGAGAGGUGCCCGUACCGCAAACCGACACAGGUAGGCGAGGAGAGAAUCCUAAGGUGAUCGAGAGAACUCUCGUUAAGGAACUCGGCAAAAUGACCCCGUAACUUCGGGAGAAGGGGUGCUCUGUUAGGGUGCAAGCCCGAGAGAGCCGCAGUGAAUAGGCCCAGGCGACUGUUUAGCAAAAACACAGGUCUCUGCGAAGCCGUAAGGCGAAGUAUAGGGGCUGACGCCUGCCCGGUGCUGGAAGGUUAAGAGGAGCGCUUAGCGUAAGCGAAGGUGCGAAUUGAAGCCCCAGUAAACGGCGGCCGUAACAAUAACGGUCCUAAGGUAGCGAAAUUCCUUGUCGGGUAAGUUCCGACCCGCACGAAAGGCGCAACGAUCUGGGCACUGUCUCAACGAGAGACUCGGUGAAAUUAUAGUACCUGUGAAGAUGCAGGUUACCCGCGACAGGACGGAAAGACCCCGUGGAGCUUUACUGCAGCCUGAUAUUGAAUGUUGGUACAGCUUGUACAGGAUAGGUAGGAGCCUUGGAAACCGGAGCGCCAGCUUCGGUGGAGGCAUCGGUGGGAUACUACCCUGGCUGUAUUGACCUUCUAACCCGCCGCCCUUAUCGGGCGGGGAGACAGUGUCAGGUGGGCAGUUUGACUGGGGCGGUCGCCUCCUAAAAGGUAACGGAGGCGCCCAAAGGUUCCCUCAGAAUGGUUGGAAAUCAUUCGCAGAGUGUAAAGGCACAAGGGAGCUUGACUGCGAGACCUACAAGUCGAGCGGGGACGAAAGUCGGGCUUAGUGAUCCGGUGGUUCCGCAUGGAAGGGCCAUCGCUCAACGGAUAAAAGCUACCCCGGGGAUAACAGGCUUAUCUCCCCCAAGAGUCCACAUCGACGGGGAGGUUUGGCACCUCGAUGUCGGCUCAUCGCAUCCUGGGGCUGUAGUCGGUCCCAAGGGUUGGGCUGCUCGCCCAUUAAAGCGGUACGCGAGCUGGGUUCAGAACGUCGUGAGACAGUUCGGUCCCUAUCCGUCGCGGGCGCAGGAAAUUUGAGAGGAGCUGUCCUUAGUACGAGAGGACCGGGAUGGACGCACCGCUGGUGUACCAGUUGUUCUGCCAAGGGCAUCGCUGGGUAGCUAUGUGCGGACGGGAUAAGUGCUGAAAGCAUCUAAGCAUGAAGCCCCCCUCAAGAUGAGAUUUCCCAUUCCGCAAGGAAGUAAGAUCCCUGAAAGAUGAUCAGGUUGAUAGGUCUGAGGUGGAAGUGUGGCGACACAUGGAGCUGACAGAUACUAAUCGAUCGAGGACUUAACC